CCUACGGGUGGCAGCAGUGGGGGAUAUUGGACAAUGGGGGGAACCCUGAUCCAGCGACGCCGCGUGAGUGAAGAAGUAUCUCGGUAUGUAAAGCUCUAUCAGCAGGGAAGAAGGAAUGACGGUACCUGAGUAAGACGCCCCGGCUAACUACGUGCCAGCAGCCGCGGUAAUACGUAGGGGGCAAGCGUUAUCCGGAAUUACUGGGUGUAAAGGGAGCGUAGACGGUGAUGUAAGUCUGGCGUGAAAGGCGGGGGCGCAACCCCCGGACUGCCCUGGAGACUAUGUGACUGGAGUGCAGGAGAGGUGAGCGGAAGUCCGAGUGUAGCGGUGAAAUGCGUAGAGAUGAGGAGGAACACCAGUGGCGAAGGCGGCUCACUGGACUGUAACUGACGUUGAGGCUCGAAAGCGUGGGGAGCAAACAGGAGUAGAUACCCUUGUAGUC
rnacentral:rRNA from 1 species